UCUAGCCAUCCACCCUGAACCUGCCAGAACUCGUCUGAUCUUGGAAGCUAAGCAGGUUUGGGACUGGUUAUUGCUUGGA
rnacentral:rRNA from 1 species